CUUGGGUCAUAUUGCAAGCCAGGGACUCCCAAAAUUCUCAUUUCUCCCUUGUGCCAGAGCCUGUGCUAGAAGAGGAGUGACGGAUUUUCCAAAUAUCUUCCCAUCUCCAUGAGCAAUCUCCUGAUUCACUGGGAUCAGGGCUGCUGUGUAACUACUCUGCAAACCUGACCUGAGCAGGCAAACCUCAGGUGACAUCGGGGACCCAGGGCUGGACUGACACGGCGAGAAACCAGCAAUGAAGGUUUAUGAAACCCUUCAGCAUUUCCCAGUGAAAGGGACUGAACGGCUCCCCCAUCCCUUCAACAAAUCGGCACAUUUGAGCAGGGAAACCGCUGGAAACGUGCACGUUUCAGGAAACAAAAAGAACAACGUUCCCCAGGGACGGACACCCCGGCUGUGGGCUGUGCCCACCCCGUGUGCUGCAGGGACCGUGAUGGGAUUUAAGCAAUCACAGGCAGACCCGGUGUCCUGGGAGAGAUAA
rnacentral:lncRNA from 1 species